rnacentral:rRNA from 1 species
CCUACGGGAGACAGCAGUGAGGAAUAUUGGUCAAUGGCCGGAAGGCUGAACCAGCCAAGCCGCGUGAAGGACGAAGGUGCUAAGCAUUGUAAACCUCUUUUGUCAAGGGACAAAACCAGGCUCGAGAGCUUGAUCGAGGGUACUCGAAGAAAAAGCAUCGGCUAACUCCGUGCCAGCAGCCGCGGUAAUACGGAGGAUGCGAGCGUUAUCCGGAUUUAUUGGGUUUAAAGGGUGCGUAGGCGGGCUGUUAAGUCAGCGGUAAAAGCGCGGGGCUCAACCCCGGCGAGCCGUUGAAACUGGCUGUCUUGAGAGGGCGAGAGGUAUGCGGAAUGCGCGGUGUAGCGGUGAAAUGCUUAGAUAUUGCGCAGAACUCCGAUUGCGAAGGCAGCAUACCGGCGGCGAUCUGACGCUGAGGCACGAAAGCGUGGGUAUCGAACAGGAUUAGAUACCCGGGUAGUC